GUAUUUGUGUGUAAUUUCAGAAUGUGGACUUCAUCCCACAAUCAUACACUGAAGAAAAAAGAGCUACAAAGAAUAAUGAUCCAUGGAUUCUAGAGAGGGACAUGGUUUCUUUACUGGACUUUUCUUCCUAGAGGGCAUGUGCAAUUGUCUGGCUGAUAUGAGUCAUCUUGGUGUGGUGGAAGCUUAUGCUGUGAGAUGUGCAAUGGUUGCCACAGCAUACAGUGAGCAAAGUUGUGCAAGCAUGAGGGAGCUAACACGUGCCCUAACAGCAGGGUGAACAAUAAUUCGGUUGGUAAAAAAGAAAACUGAUGUGGAAGUCUCCAUGUAUGCACUGCAGGACGCAUGAUGACUUCACCUACUUGAGAAAUCGCUGUGUUGGGCUGGCAAGACUU